rnacentral:sRNA from 1 species
GCGUCGCCGCCUCGCGAGGCGCUGCCGCUAUUAGCGCAGGGCAUUCGGGAGCAGCAGCGUAUCGCCAUAUGAUCCACCCGCUGUCGCGAGGCGCGCGCAAGCAAGGCCAAGGCGGUAUAUGCACAGCGCAGCCAGCGCGCAGCGGCCGGCCGGGCGGUGCGGCGGUGUGCCGAUGCGAGGGCGUACGUGACAAAUCAUCGUUUGCCGCGCGCGCCGCCGGAUCGGUCUGCUUACUGGUGGGUGGUGGCGCCUUGUGCGCGUAACCUCCCGGAACAUGGCGAGCGAAACGGCAAGAUUCCAAGGCGCCGAGGUACAAUUGUACUUCGGAUACGUACAACGACUAAAAAUUUGGGGCGGAUAAUGCGAGAUUGAUUACUCUGCCACCACGACGUGCAUGCCGGAUCGAGCCACGUCGUAUUCGGUUGAGGCUUGGAGAGAUAACCUUUUGUAAAAAGAAAGCUAGUGUUUGUUUUGAGGGAUAUGUGGACUCGUGAUCGGUUUUGCUGAUGAUUUUUCCUUAAAAGAUGAUGGUACAAGGUAUAAAUUAAGUCAGGUUUGUCACC